rnacentral:rRNA from 1 species
AUGCUCAAAAUUGAUCUUGCUAAAGCUUUUGAUCUCUUAGAAUGGAACUUCAUCAUCAAUGCUUUAAUUCAUAAAGGGCUGCAUGGUCAUUUCAUCAAUCUUAUUCAUGCCCGCAUCACUACCCCUGUGUUUUCUAUUAUAAUUAAUGGCCAAUCAUAUGCUAGAUUCAAAAGUGGCAGAGGCAUAAGGCAAGGUUGCCCCCUCUCUUCAUAUAUCUUUGUCCUUGCAAUAAAUGAAUUGUAUGUCUCCUUACAGGAAGCAAUGGCAUCCAACUACUCGACUGGUAUAUCUCUCGGACAAAAUUCCCCCCCUAUACAUUGCCUAAUGUUUGCAGAUGAUCUACUUGUUUGUGGCCAUGCUAAUAUUCAUGAGGCUAAUGUCAUGAAUCAACUGAUCCAAUCAUUUUGUGUUAGAUCCGGCCAAACUCCAAAUUGGAACAAAUCCGAAAUCCCUUUUAGUAAAGACGUUGACCCCAACAUCCAGCAUGCCAUUAAGAACAUCUUCCAUGUUCCACCCAUUAAUAAAAACUUCAUGCAUGGUCAUCCUCCCAUCCUUCCAGCGAAAGACAGAUCCUCUGCCUAUAACUUUAUUAUUGAUAAAUUCAAAGCAAAAUUUCCUGCCUAUAAAGCCUUCAAACUCUCUCAUGCAGGCAGACUCACUCUUAUAAACUCUGUAUUUGCCUCAUUUCCAAUCUAUCACAUGUCAAACAUUCUCUUUCCCAAGAAAUUCUUAGCCAAACUCACUGCUAUCAUUAGAAACUUCUGGUGGACAGGUGUUAGAUAG